rnacentral:rRNA from 1 species
AUACAGAGGGUGCGAGCGUUAAUCGGAAUUACUGGGCGUAAAGCGCGCGUAGGCGGCUUGGUCAGUCGGAUGUGAAAGCCCCGGGCUCAACCUGGGAAUGGCAUUCGAUACUGCCAGGCUAGAGUAUGGGAGAGGGAAGUGGAAUUUCCGGUGUAGCGGUGAAAUGCGUAGAUAUCGGAAGGAACACCAGUGGCGAAGGCGACUUCCUGGCCCAAUACUGACGCUGAGGUGCGAAAGCGUGGGGAGCGAACAGGAUUAGAAACCCUAGUAGUCC